rnacentral:rRNA from 1 species
GGGUCAGUAGGUUGGUAGUGCCACCGGUACGUACUGGUCUCACUGAUUCCUCCUUCCUGAAGAACCGUAAUGCCAUUAAUUUGGUGUUGCGGGGAAACAGGACUGUUACUUUGAAAAAAUUAGAGUGUUUAAAGCAAGCUAACGCUUGAAUACAUUAGCAUGGAAUAAUGAAAUAGGACGAUCGAUCCAAUUUUGUUGGUUUCUAGGAUUGACGUA